AGGAAAGCUGCUUAAUUACAACUCUGCAAAUUCGAGUUGCACAAACCUAAGAAAUAUUGAAACAUGAGAGCCAGUGAAUGCAAGUUCAGGAGCUACUGAUCGCAAGCAGUGAAGUUAUUCCACACAACGAGGGAGCGGGCAUUUUUACAACAGUUAUUCUGGCAAACAAUUCUGGCAAUUGCACAAUGAGAACUCCAGAUAUAAACAACCCUCAAAUGCCUCGAUGACAAAAUACGAAAUCCUAGAAGACAGUUGGAGUUGCCAAAAACAUGUUGCAAGCUCAUCUAAGCUAAGUAGCAAAACAUCUCAAGU